UACGUAGGGGGCUAGCGUUGUCCGGAAUCAUUGGGCGUAAAGAGCGCGUAGGCGGCCAGAUAAGUCCGGUGUGAAAGUCACAGGCUCAACCUGUGAAUGCCGCUGGAAACUGUCUGGCUAGAGUCCGGUAGGGGCGAGUGGAAUUCCUGGUGUAGCGGUGAAAUGCGCAGAUAUCAGGAGGAACACCAAUGGCGAAGGCAGCUCGCUGGAACGGUACUGACGCUGAGACGCGAAAGCGUGGGGAGCGAACAGG
rnacentral:rRNA from 1 species